CAUGCUAACUGGCAUGGAAGGGGAUGUAGCUCAGUGGUAGAGCGCAUGCUUUGCAUGUAUGAGGCCCCGGGUUCAAUCCCCGGCAUCUCCACUCCUAUUCUUUUUUUUUUUGUGAGAAGCACUUUCUGUCAUAUUCCUUGAAACCGUCGUAACAAACCGAUCGCGAUGAAUACACUGACUGAUCCGACACUGAGACGGAAACGAGCCCUCAUCUGUGGCCGCGGCAGGACUGUGAAGAACACGACCCAUCGGAGAGUUCUGACCGGUUGAACCGGCUUUCUCCUGCCCGCUCGUCGGCAAACAACCGCGUCAACUCCGGGAGGAGAAGCGGGUACAGCAAGUUGUGCAUGAAGACGUCCAGGACCUGGAGGUUGACUGCCACGGACCAGAGCACCGAGACCGGACGAUGCCCGUCAACGGCUCGAGAAGCAGGUCAGCAGAGGACCAGGACCAGUGCCUAAGAGUCGACGACAGCACAGCCUGACCCGUCAGCCGACAGACCUGCUUUGACACUAGAACUAGGAAACCCUGUGCAGACAGUAUCUUCAUUGUUGUACAUAUGUUGUUUAUGCUAAUAUUAUAAUAUAUA